CUAGAGAGACUGCCGGUGAUAAACCGGAGGAAGGUGGGGAGUGACGUCAAAUCAUCAUGCCCCUUAUGGCCUGGGCUACAAACGUAAUACAAUGGCGUAUACAAAGGGAUGCGAAAGGGCGACCUGGAGCAAACUCACAAAGUACGUCUCAGUUCAGAUUGGAGUCUGCAACUCGACUCCAUGAAGGCGGAAUCGCUAGUAAUCGCGGAUCAGCAUGCCGCGGUGAAUACGUUCUCGGGGUUU
rnacentral:rRNA from 1 species